AGAGUUUGAUCCUGGCUCAGGACGAACGCUGGCGGCGUGCCUAACACAUGCAAGUCGAGCGAAGUGUUUAGGAUGACUCCUUCGGGAUGAUUCCUAAAUAUCUUAGCGGCGGACGGGUGAGUAACGCGUGAGAAACCUGCCUUUCACAAAGGAAUAGCCUCGGGAAACUGGGAUUAAUACCUUAUGAUACCUAAGCUCCACAUGGAGCCUAGGUUAAAGCGUAAAGCGGUGAAAGAUGGUCUCGCGUCCCAUUAGUUAGUUGGUGAGGUAAAGGCUCACCAAGACCAUGAUGGGUAACCGGCCUGAGAGGGUGAACGGUCACACUGGAACUGAGACACGGUCCAGACUCCUACGGGAGGCAGCAGUGGGGAAUAUUGCACAAUGGAGGAAACUCUGAUGCAGCGACGCCGCGUGAAUGAUGAAGGUCUUCGGAUCGUAAAAUUCUGUCCUAGGGGACGAUAAUGACGGUACCCUAGGAGGAAGCCCCGGCUAACUAUAUGCCAGCAGCCGCGGUAAUACAUAGGGGGCAAGCGUUGUCCGGAUUUAUUGGGUUUAAAGGGAGCGUAGGCGGGAUGUUAAGUCAGUUGUGAAAGUUUGCGGCUCAACCGUAAAAUUGCAGUUGAUACUGGCGUCCUUGAGUGCGGCAGAGGAAGGCGGAAUUCGUGGUGUAGCGGUGAAAUGCUUAGAUAUCACGAAGAACUCCGAUUGCGAAGGCAGCUUUCUGGACCGUAACUGACGCUGAUGCUCGAAAGUGCGGGUAUCAAACAGGAUUAGAUACCCUGGUAGUCCGCACAGUAAACGAUGGACACUCGCUGUUGGCGAUACACGGUCAGCGG
rnacentral:rRNA from 1 species